rnacentral:rRNA from 1 species
UACAGAGGGUGCGAGCGUUGUUCGGAAUUAUUGGGCGUAAAGGGCGCGUAGGCGGUGCGGUAAGUCACCUGUGAAAUCUCCUGGCUCAACUGGGAGCUUGCAGGCGAAACUGCCGUGCUGGAGUGUGGGAGAGGUGAGUAGAAUUCCUGGUGUAGCGGUGAAAUGCGCAGAUAUCAGGAGGAACACCGGUGGCGAAGGCGGGUCUCUGGGCCGUAACUGACGCUGAGGAGCGAAAGCGUGGGGAGCGAACAGG